AAUGGGUGACGAGGCAGGAUGAGAAGUUAGGUAUCUCUGAAUUUACGUAAGUCGGGGUAUUAUUGUAUCUGAUAAAUGAUAUUAAAUCGACCUGCAUUUCCCAGGAUAGGAUCCUCUGAUUAUAUUUAUGCAUUUUCAAAGUUAUAAGACAGUUGUUUAAUAAUAAGACACUGUUUUUGUUCAGUGAGGUUUUGUACAUAUGAGCAUUGCACAUAUGUACAAUGCUUUUGUACACUGCAGUUUUGUCUUUGGGCUUUGUCGUUUGAAUUUAUGUCCUGGAACCGUUUUCUGUAUUACUUUAGUUUAUUUUGACUUCUUGGAAAAAUAGUUUUUAUAUUGAUAAGACUGUUUUUUUGGGCUUUGCUGAUUUCCCCGACUUUCUUAGCAUUUUAAUUAAGACUGUACAUAAUUUGUAAUUACUGUAUGUACGAAAGUGAUUUUUGCAUAAGCCUUUAAUAUAUUUUUGUAGAACUAAACCCGAGAAGAUAUAUAUAACUCUACAGAUAAGCAUUAUUUACCUGAGACAAUGCUUUUUAUUCGAUAAUCUUGUAGUCAAAAUAGAUAAUUAUCUUCUCCAGUCCUUUUAUUUUUUAUUUUUGCGUCGUUGAAGCAUUAUGUGAAGAUAAGUACCUAUAAAUUAUAUUUUAAAUAAGACAUUGUUUUCCAAACUAAACAAAGGACGUGAUGAAUGAUGUUAAGAAUUUUUUUAUAUAAAGUGAAAUGCGUGUCGUUCUAAAAUGCAGCUCAGGAUGUUUUUGGUUUUGUUCUGCUUUUCACCUAGGAAAGUAUUAUGCGCCAGUCAUUCCAAAAUUCAAUCACGGCCAUCUCAGUAGCCAGCAGAUGAAGGAUGGAGAUCCACGGAAAAUCUUAGAUGUAAGGGAUCCAGAAUCUGUCGUAGUCCUCCAUAUGGAAAGCAAUACUACUAUACCACGCGAUCAGAUGGCCGAUUAACCUAACGUCAGGUAAAUCGGUGUUUCUCAAACUGCAGGCAUGAUUCUUAAACGGAAUACGGAGUCGUGAAAGGUUUUAGAAAAAUUUAUGAAGCCAUUAUUAUUUAAAUUUUCAGAAUAUAAGUAUAAUUUUAAGGCAAUAAAUUUUAUUAAUAGACUGUCAUAUGUGAUACUAAAUAAUAUACGAUGGUACCUAGACUUACGAAUUUUAAUUCGUUUCUGUCCGCCUCGAAAAGUUCGUAUCUCGAAACCCGGUUUUCCAUUUUAUCUUAUGAGAAAUCAAUUAAUCCGUUUCCAGAUUUAGAAACUUUGAAAAUUAAUAAAGAAAAUAUGCGUUUGUGUAUAAUUUUUAUUUUUGAAAUUUUUGGUUUUACAUACUUAAUAAAAAAAAAAUCAAUUUUCUGCUGACUGGUUUUGUAGUUUGG
rnacentral:lncRNA from 1 species